rnacentral:rRNA from 1 species
UCCCAGCAGUCCAAGUCGCAGCCACAAUUAUUGGGUCUAAAACAUCCGUAGCUUGCAUUGUAAGUCUUUUGUGAAAUCUGGCCUCUCAAGGGUCGGGCGUGCAAAAGAUACUGCUUUGCUUGAGAUCGGGAGAUGUAAGGAGUAUGAAUAGAGUAACGGUAAAAUGUGUUGAUCCUAUUCAGACUAACAAUAGCGAAGGCACCUUACAAGAACGAAUCUGACAGUGAGGGAUGAAGGCUAGGGGCGCAAAUUG